rnacentral:lncRNA from 1 species
CUUCUUAGCGCAUCCGUUUUCUUGCUCGUUAGCGCUUGACUAAUAAGAUAGAAAGAGCCUUUCUUGCUUGUUUAGUAAAGUCUCGCUUUUUGAUAGGAGUAGGUGCUUGCUAGGGCAGGGCACUUUUCAUUCUUCAUUCGAAACUAACAAGUGUCGGGUCGGGGAUUUCUGCCUUGUUAUCAAAAAGGGAGUUGGGUAAAGCAAACUCUCUCCUUGGAGGAGCACGGGCUUAGUCAAGUAGAACCGGGUUGCGCUGCUUGAUGCUCCGAUCGAAAACAAAUCAGUGGGGCCAUGCCGGUACGACUGAAUAUGCGUUAGAAAGGUCAAUCCCUCCCCUACGACACCAAAAAAACCGGGCU